rnacentral:rRNA from 1 species
CUCAGUUCGGAUUGUAGUCUGCAACUCGACUACAUGAAGCUGGAAUCGCUAGUAAUCGCAGAUCAGAAUGCUGCGGUGAAUACGUUCCCGGGUCUUGUACACACCGCCCGUCACACCAUGGGAGUCGGAAAUGCCCGAAGCCGGUGACCAAACCAAUAAGGAAGGAGCCGUCAAGGCAGGUCUGAUAACUGGGGUGAAGUCGUAACAAGGUACC